rnacentral:lncRNA from 1 species
CGGUGCGCGUGACUCAAGAGAGGUCGCCUGAGAAUGCCUGCGGAAAUCUAUCCCGUUUCUUCCACAUGCAGGCUAAGGGUAGUGGCAAUCGGGUUCAUCUAUGCAGAACGGUUUCUUGUUUCGCUCUUCAAUUAUAAACGUAUAUGCAUGACUAUGGAUAUGUGUGCAAAUGGAAGGAGACCGCAUACCUAGCUCCGUCGGCACGGACAGCUCGGCAUUUUUUCAUAGAUUGGUGGAUGCCCCUGCGUUCACAUGUGUGUCUCAGAGGUAAGUGUGAACACACCUGCAGGGAUGGAACGGGGCAUUUCUGCAUUCUCGGCCAUCGCUAUAUACAUGCAUAUGUGUAUAGUUGUUUAUAGGCAACUCGCGGCAUACACACAUGUGUGUACAAAUGUGUGUGUAGGAACGCAGUGUCUGCGGUUCUGUAGGAUUCCUUCCACUAUCCGCUGCCAUUCAAAGAGAGCCACAAGAGCAUACUCAACGAAGCGAUUCGAAAAACGCAAACUCUCGCCAGUGAAUAAACCGUCCAGAUUGACAGGCCUGCUCGCGUAGAGGGGAAAAAGGCACGAAAAAACGUUUCCUCGAGCGCCCUUGGAAAAGUGUCCCUUCCCUGGAUCCACUCUCCUCUCUGUGGUUUCCCAUCUUCCGCAAAUCUGGAGAAGUCGAAAGUUUUCUUUCCAGUCUUUUUGUGUGAAUGCUAGACACCUGAGCCCUUCAAGGGAGGACGGAGAGGGACUCUUCUCUCUCUCUGCCCGUUUCUUUGGAAGAAGAAAACCCAGGAGGGUUUCCGUCUUCUCUUGGCAGGGAAAAGCAUGUUUGUCCUCUCGUAAAAAGAAAUCGAAGAGAGCGAGUUUCGCUUCCUCCGCUCACGAGGCAAAACCACAGUCUUGUCCUGAAGCUCUACCAGGCCACAGGUCCGUGUCUCUUUUAGGGUCGAGGGGAAAAGGCAUGUUUCUACCCCGCAGAAGAAACGGGCGAAUAAGGGCCGGCUAUAUUUCCAAGAAACUCCCGCGAGAGAACAUCGGGAAAGUGCGAAGCCUCUCAAAGGGUACGCGAGAGAACGCCUAGGAGUUAGCAGUUCCAAAAAAACAUGCUUUUCGGGAUUCACAGCGGCCAUCUCCCCUCUCGCUUGGAGCCUGUUCUGGUCAAGCAGGUGUUCAGCUGUAUGUACACCCCGGGCCAGAGAUGGGAAGAAUGAGUUGCUUCAUGCAGGCGUUUCAAUGAGAAAGCUCGGCCUCGAGAGGGAAGAUUGAAGAGCUCUGGGGAGCUGUCGAGUUUCUCAGUCAAAACAGACUUCUCGUUUUCCACGCUUCCGACGCGGGGGAAAAAUGGAAAAGCCUACCUGUUCUUUGCAUACAGCAAAUGUCACUACUUGGAAUGAGACAUCGCGAGAAAGGGAUGGGCGAGUGAGAUCUUCCGAGCCAAAUGAGACAGAAAAGGUGCGUGGCGAAGAAAUGCAAGGAAGCUACACUACCACCAGGCUCAAGUGUGGAAACGAAAACGUGGUUUUGCCUUUCCUAGACAGUUUCGUUUGCUUUCUGUGAGGACUGAAAACCGAGAAAAAAAAGGGCGGCACCUCAAGA